rnacentral:rRNA from 1 species
UACGGAGGGUGCAAGCGUUAUCCGGAUUCACUGGGUUUAAAGGGUGCGUAGGCGGAUAGGUAAGUCCGUGGUGAAAUCCUGCAGCUUAACUGCAGAACUGCCAUGGAUACUAUCUAUCUUGAAUGUCGUGGAGGUUAGCGGAAUAUGUCAUGUAGCGGUGAAAAUGCUUAGAUAUGACAUAGAACACCCAUUGCGAAGGCAGCUAACUACGCGAUAAUUGACGCUGAUGCACGAAAGCGUGGGGAUCAAACAGG